rnacentral:rRNA from 1 species
UACAGAGGUCUCAAGCGUUGUUCGGAUUCAUUGGGCGUAAAGCGCGUGUAGGCGGCCUUGUAAGUCCGUUCUGAAAGUCCGGGGCUCAACCCCGGGAGGCGGAUGGAUACUGCAAGGCUCGAGUACGGAAGAGGCGAGUGGAAUUCCCGGUGUAGCGGUGAAAUGCGCAGAUAUCGGGAGGAACACCAAUGGCGAAGGCAGCUCGCUGGGACGUUACUGACGCUGAGACGCGAAAGCGUGGGGAGCAAACAGG